rnacentral:rRNA from 1 species
CAGUCGUACCGACGAGAAAUCAGCUUAUCGUGUGUUAACUUGUGGGCGUGCGUGAGUUUCGGCCUCGCUGUUUGCAUGUUUGUGCGCUUUGGGUGUACUUUUUCGUAUGGUUGGCCAACAUCAGUUUCGAUCACUAUAAAAUGACUGGCGGAAUGUAGCUUCGAUUUCGGUUGAAGUGUUAUAGCCUCUGGUAGAUGUGGUGAUUGGGACUGAGGAUUGCAACGAAUAUCCUUUGGGCUAUCCGUCCGGCCCCUGAAAGUUGCUUGGGUGCUGAAAGCUUGCUUAUGGUUAUCUAAGUUAACGGUCAAUAGGUUAGAACGUGAUUACAUUCGUUAAGGAUGUUGGCGUAAUGGCUUUAAACGA